CGAAUGCUUAUUAUAUAGUUUUGUAGUCAGACUUUGGGUGCUAAGGUCCAUAGUCGAAAGGGAAACAGCCCAGAUUAUUAGUUAAGGUCCCUAAAAGAUAUCUAAGUGAGAAAGAAAGUAAAAAAGUUUUGACAAUUAGAAGGUAGGCUUGGAAGCAGCCAUUCUUUAAAAAAUGCGUAAUAGCAUACUAAUUGAAAACAUUAUGUUUAAACUUUUUUGCGUCGAAAAUUCAGAAGGACUAAAGAUAUUUACCGAAACUAUAAACUCUGUAAGAGUGGUAGCAAAGCGUUUUUUAAGUCGUAGAAAGUGAUUUGUAAAAAUUACUGGAGAUAAAAAAGUGAAGAUACUAAAAUGAGUAGCGAAAAACAAUGUAAAAAACAUUGUAGCCGAAAAUUUGAGGUUUUCUACAUAAAGUUAAACUGUGUAGAGUUAGUCGGUCUCUAAGAUAUUAAUGCGAAAGCAGAAUUCGAUGAGGUUUUUUAAUAAAAAUAAUAUAUAAAGUGACAGGUUUUCUUAAACCAUAAGAUAGAAAAUGGAUUGUUUUAUGGUAAACAAAAUUUCAAGAAAAACUUUAUAUUAAUAAAUACCGUACUUAGCCGACAAAGGAAAAUAGAUUUAAAGAUUAAGGCUUUUGGGUGAAUCAUUCUUAAGGAACUCGGCAAAAUAAUUCUGUAACUUCGGGAGAAAGAAUACCUUUUUAAUUAAAGGUGGCACAAAAAAAAGGAUAGCGACUGUUUACUAAAAACACAAGACUUUGCAAAAUUGUAAAAUGAAGUAUAAGGUUUGAUGCUUGCCCAAUGCUGUAAUGUUAAAUGGAGACGUUAAAUGCGUCGAAAUGAAGCUUCAGUGAAUGGCAGUCGUAACUCUAACGAUUCAAAGGUAGCGAAAUUCCUAGCCAGUUAAUUGCUGGCCUGCACGAAUAGCAUAACGACUUUCCUACUGUCUCAAGAAUGAUCCCAGCGAAAUUAGAGUCUGCGUGAAGAUACGCAGUAGCAAAAAUAAGACGGAAAGACCCUAUAAACCUUUACUAUAGUCUUGUAUUGUUAUGAUUUAUUUUUUGUGUAGCCUAGGUGGGAGCUGUUAUUAGGUCUUAACGCUAGUUAAUUACUGAAGCAUUCAUGAAAUACCACUCUAAAAAUAAAAUCUAACUAAUUAUUUGAAUAAGAAAAUGCAAGAUGUUUAGUUUAACUGGGGCGGUAGUCUUCUAAAAAGUAACGAAGAUCUGCAAAGGUAAGUUUAGAUUCAGUAGAAACGAAUUAAAAGGUAUAAGCGCAUAAACUUGCUUGAUUGGAAGAGAUACAACUCGACCAAGGACGAAAGUCGGCGCUAGUGAUCCGGAAAUUUUCAAUGGAAAAGUUUUCGCUCAAGGAAUAAAAGGUACUUUAGGGAUAACAGGCUAAUGACUCUCAAGAGCUCCUAUCGACAGAGUCUUUUGGCACCUCGAUGUCGAGUGCGAUUCGUUUCAGGUAAUUUUAUCGUAAAGAAGGGUAAAAGUAAACUGAGGACCAAAUAUCCAAAGUGAUAUAAAGUCUAACUAAAAUAAUUUGAGGUGAAAAUCCUCCGUCCAA
rnacentral:rRNA from 1 species